rnacentral:rRNA from 1 species
CCUACGGGAGGCAGCAGUAGGGAAUAUUGGACAAUGGGGGCAACCCUGAUCCAGGCAUGCCGCGUGUGUGAAGAAGGCCUUAGGGUUGUAAAGCACUUUAAGUGAGGAAGAAAAGAUUUAAAUUAAUACUUUAAGUCCCUGACAUUACUCACAGAAUAAGGACCGGCUAACUCCGUGCCAGCAGCCGCGGUAAUACGGAGGGUCCAAGCGUUAAUCGGAAUUACUGGGCGUAAAGCGCGCGUAGAUGGUUUAUUCAGUUGGGUGUGAAAUCCCUGGGCUCAACCUAGGAACUGCAUUCAAAACUUAUAAACUAGAGUACGAAAGAGGAGAGUAGAAUUCAUGGUGUAGCGGUGAAAUGCGUAGAGAUCAUGAGGAAUACCAGUGGCGAAGGCGACUCUCUGGUUCGAGACUGACAUUGAGGUGCGAAAGCGUGGGUAGCA